rnacentral:miRNA from 1 species
GUGUACACUCUCAUCGACCGGGAGGAAUCCUCCGGCCGCUGAGAGUUGUAUAGCUCUCAACGGCGGAGAGGGAUUCCUCCCGGCCGGUGAGAGUGUACAU